UACAGAGGGUGCGAGCGUUAAUCGGAUUUACUGGGCGUAAAGGGUGCGUAGGUGGUCACGAAAGUCGGAUGUGAAAGCCCUGGGCUCAACCUGGGAAUGCCAUUCGAUACUCCGCGACUAGAAUUCGGUAGAGGGAGGCGGAACUCCAGGUGUAGCGGUGAAAUGCGUAGAUAUGUGGAGGAACACCAGUGGCGAAGGCGACUCUCUGGCCUGUAACUGACGCUGAGGCGCGAAAGCGUGGGGAGCAAACAGG
rnacentral:rRNA from 1 species